AGAAAAUAGAUACCCUGGUAGUCCAUGCCGUAAACGUUGGGCACUAGGUGUGGGGGACAUUCCACGUUUUCCGCGCCGUAGCUAAACGCAUUAAGUGCCCCGCCUGGGGAGUACGGCCGCAAGGCUAAAACUCAAAGGAAUUGACGGGGGCCCGCACAAGCGGCGGAGCAUGCGGAUUAAUUCGAUGCAACGCGAAGAACCUUACCAAGGCUUGACAUGAACCAGACCGGGCUGGAAACAGUCCUUCCCCUUGUGGGUUGGUUUACAGGUGGUGCAUGGUUGUCGUCAGCUCGUGUCGUGAGAUGUUGGGUUAAGUCCCGCAACGAGCGCAACCCUCGUUCUAUGUUGCCAGCACGUGAUGGUGGGGACUCAUAGGAGACUGCCGGGGUCAACUCGGAGGAAGGUGGGGACGACGUCAAAUCAUCAUGCCCCUUAUGUCUUGGGCUUCACGCAUGCUACAAUGGCCGGUACAAAGGGUUGCGAUACUGUGAGGUGGAGCUAAUCCCAAAAAGCCGGUCUCAGUUCGGAUUGGGGUCUGCAACUCGACCCC
rnacentral:rRNA from 1 species